GCGUGAGUGAUGAAGGCCUUCGGGUUGUAAAACUCUUUCGCGCACGACGAUAAUGACGGUAGUGCGAGAAGAAGCUCCGGCUAACUUCGUGCCAGCAGCCGCGGUAAUACGGAGGGGGCUAGCGUUGUUCGGAAUUACUGGGCGUAAAGCGCACGUAGGCGGCUUUGUAAGUUAGAGGUGAAAGCCUGGUGCUCAACACCAGAACUGCCUUUAAGACUGCAUCGCUUGAAUCAUGGAGAGGCGGGUGGAAUUCCGAGUGUAGAGGUGAAAUUCGU
rnacentral:rRNA from 1 species